CUCCAAAAACCCCAAUCUCAAUAAUAAAAUUUAAGUAUUUGUUUCCUUUCUUUUAUUGUACGCUUUCCCCGCAUUUCCUAUUUUUCCAAAAUCCCAAUCUUCUUCCGUUUCCCCAAUUUUUCAAUUCACGCAAGGUUCAAGUUCACGCCGCCUCUAGCAUCUCUCUGGCUCCCCCUUUCAUCUCGGCCUGUCAUCUCAGGCCGUCGACGACCAAUUUCUAAACCUCACGCCCUAAUUUCUCAAAAUCUCAACCUCUCCAAACCACAUCGACGGUGAAUCCGGCUGCCGUCGUCUUCAACGUCCGCCAAGUCCCCCACGCGUCAUUUGAAGGAUCGUCGUCGGUGAGUUCUUGAUUUUUCUUUUUUCGUUUCUUGAAGAAGAAGUUCGCCAGGAUAUUAGACAAGUUUGUUUGUAUGGUGCUCUAUCAAGCCCACGAAACGGUAAUUUGAGAAGAAAGUAUUCCAAAGUUGAUGAUUUUGCUAGGGUAAUUUGAAGAAGUUUACGCUCUCCAAAAGCACUUACCUCUGAAACAAAGAAAGUUAGCGAAGAUAUUAUUAGUGGUUAAGCCACUAUAUUAUUAGUCACUAUCUCAUAUGUUAUUAAUUGGUUAAUUUGUAUUAAAAGUUGUCCCUGACCUUCUUUUCGCCACUGCUAAGCAAUUGUGCUACACUUAAUUGGUUAAUUUGUAUUAAAAGUCAAAUUGCUGCAAAAGAAGAUUGGGACUGCUCGGAUAUGUCUUGGAGAGAGCAUUUAAGAAUGACAUUUGUUGAUAAAAGUGGUGAAAACAGUUCAAGACUGAUUUAUGUUCAUCUGUAAUAUUCAGCUCGCUAGUUUCUUUUAACUUGUUCUCAAAGUUUCAGGUUUAAAGCUAACAAUGUAUUUUUGCACUUGACUUUAUCAUUCCUUUUAAAUUAAAAUUUCUUUCACUUGAUCAGAUUUGAUUGUUUGUAAGGUUGGAACGGUGCUUCUUAGUUGUGCCUUCCUCUAUGAUAUUUUUUGGGUAUUUGUUUCUAAAGAAGGUGUUCAAUGAAAGUGUGAUGAUUGUGGUUAGUAGGGAGUGCCAUUUUGACUUACAUCGUCACAGACUUGAAGAAGAUCACCUCUCAUAUACUUUACUGCGUUGCUAUUAAAAAUCAUUAACAGGUGGCUUUUCCUUCCCAGCAUUUGUAUGGAUGUACUCUUGAAUGAUUAAUUUAAUGAUUUUUGUACUUUAAUGUUUUCUUACAUGUAAAUUUGCUGUCAUUUUGGCUACCAUAAAGCAAAUGGCGCUGGGUUGAAGGUAAAGGAACAUGAAUGUUCUUGAUUGGUUAUUUUUCAAUUAUUUUUUAUAAAUGCUAAAUGCAGAGUGUUUAUUGUUUUUUUAAAUGUUACAAGUUUUAUGAAAAGUAUGUUGGUGAAUUAAAAAAUGUGUUGAAGUGUCCAAGAGUAUGGCUUGUGAUUAACAUUAGGGUCUACAUUGAAUUCGAUGAGUAUUCAAUUACAAGAUUUAUGUUAGUAUCAUUGUCUUCUUGAAGAUAUCUUGGUUCUCUCUUAUUAUAUAUCCUUGUUGAAAGGUUUUAUAACUUGAAAGACCAUAGAUGAGAGGCACAUAUUCUCUUUUGGGAAUCAUACAACUGAGAUUCAGACAAUUCUAAUUCUGAAAGUAAUAUCUCUCUGUAUGUGAGAUAUUUUCCUCAAGAUGCUGUUGCACGCAGUUUUGCCAUCUACCAAUUUAUUGGUCAGUAUUUCCUUCUUUUAUAUUUAUUUCUGUGUACCAUGUUUGUAGUCUAAUUAUUUGAGGUAGUAAUAUUCCUACUUUUAGAUUGAUGGCUCUCCCUUAUGAGAUGUAGUUUAAGGUUCUGCAACUCUGCUACUAUCCAUGGUGGCUUAAGCUUGAUCAGAUACAUCUUUGGAAGUAAUAUUGCUUAUUCAUCUUGGAAGUGGUAAAGGGAAUAAAUCUUUGAUUUUACUAAAUUGUUUCUUCUGUAGGAUUCUGGAGAUGAAAUUCUUCUGCGAGAGGUAUUAUAUGAUGCUGCAAUAAUACCAGAGUACCCAUUCCUUAAACUUCAAUUUGGAACUAAACGAUCUGCUGCUGAUUUAAGAACUAUUUGUUUGAAUUGGUUAUUUGUUGUUGAUAAUGGUAGUUCUUUGAUGGCCAUAGAUUUUGUUUUUGCCAUUGUGAGUAUUCUGCUCGAGAUAGUUCUUCAUCAUGGAAUGAACCAUUUAGUUCUCAUCACUUAUUGUCUCUUCAUUGCUGUCAUUUCCUUAGCUCCAAUUACUUACUUCUGUGAAAAGUAAUUUCCUCAAAUACCCACUUUUUUAUUUAAUCCUUUUUUUCCUUUUGAUCUUUUGAUUAUUAUGAAUUUUCUCUUUUUCUCUAUUUAUGCUCUAUUGUUUUGGGGUUUUACAGAGAUGGUAGAGCCAGUCUCUCUCUUUGAAUUUUCUGUUAUUUGUUCUUCUGCGCCAUUGUUGGGAGGAAUUUGAUUUGGUUGAGCUUUGCUGCCAUAUCGAUGAUGAGCAUCCCUUAGAAGCCAACUUUGGGGUUAACAUUUUGAAAGGUUACAUGUGGGUGUGCAGCAAUAGUUGGUGCAACUUUUAGAGCUCUAGUUGGUGGUGUAUUAUUUGCACAGGAAGAAGUAACUUCUUGUAGAAGUUGUGGUGCCGAUAGUGAUACUGAGUCAUCAAAGAAAACAAGCAAUGAUGGAAGCAGCAAUUCUGGGGCAGAAAAGAAAAUGAAAACUAGUAUUAUUAACUCCAAUCUUUGUUGUAUUAGCAGAGUACUUAUUUAAAUAGCUUGUUGGUAUCAAAACAUGUAUGUUUAUUCUAUCAUUGUACAAACCAUUUACUUACAAUUGUACAAAUAUUACAAAGUGUAUGUUAACAUAUAUACAUUAAAGCAUUGACGGUUUGUUUUCA